ensembl:ncRNA C34H3.8 ncRNA
UCUAAUCUUUUGUCGAUUCACGUAUGUAAAUGGACAAACAAGAUAUCACCUCGUGUGCAUUACACCUCACCCCCCCCCCUCUCUUCCAAGUAAAAUCACUCAGCGACCGUUUAUGGAUUGAUGGGGGCCUAUGUUUGAGUAAAGUUUUAGUGAAAAGCAUAGGAAGAACGAUCUGACGCAGCAGCACAACACUGAUCCGGUUCCGAAGACCCUCUUCAUGAAUACGGUAGGCUGCUGCUGGUGCUCUCCGGCGGCUUGCUCUCCUGCUUUUUCAUGCAAUAACAUCU